CAGAGGCUGCAGUGAACCAAGAUCAUGCCACUGCACUCCAGCCUGGGUGAUAGAGCAAGACCUUGUCUUAAAAAAAAAAAAAAUUUCUUCAGCAGGAUACAGACCCCCCGCAAAAAUGAACAUUUUAAAGAUUCAUAUUAUAUAUUGUAAAACUGCCUUCCCAGAAAUAUUUUAUCAAUUUGUGUAGUUUUACCAGAAAUAAAUGAGUGUCCAUUUUGCUGCUUUCUGGCCAAUAGUGGUUAUUGACAUUCUUUUCAUCUUUGCCAAUUUCAUACAUGGAAUACUAUAUUACAUUUUGUUUUAGCUUUUAUUCCUUUUUUUUUUUUUUUUGCAAUGGAGUCUUACUCUGUCACCCAGGCUGGAGUGCAGACUCUGUCACCCAGGCUGGAGUGCAGUGGCGCAAUCUUGGCUCACUGCACCUCCACCUCCCGGGUUCAAGCAAUUCUCCUGCCUCAGCCUCCUGAGUAGCUGAGACCACAGGUGUGUGCCACCACGCCUGGCUAAUUUUUUGUGUUUUUAGUAGAGACAGGGUUUUGUUAUGUUGGCCAGGCUGGUCUUUUUCUCUUCUUUAUUUUGUUUGAGGUUAUUAUUGUGACUCUCUGGCUAACUCCUACUUAUCCUCAGGCCUUUUCUGAACUCACAAUUCAAAUUACAGCUCCCUUUGGUUCUCUUCCACAGCAGUUGUACUUACAUAUGUCUAUUUAUAUAAUUAUGAAUUUGUUUCAUAUUUGUCGCCCUUUACAUGGUAAACUUAAUGAAUUUUGGGGCUCCAUCUGUUUUGCUCACCACUUGAUCCUUGGCAUGUAGCACACAAUGGCUGCUCAAUACCUAUUUACUGAAUGAGCAAAUGGGCUGGACCACUUUUAGAGACUGGAGAUAUUUGGCAAGAGAUUUUGGCAUUUAGUGGGUACUACAGGGGAAAAUGUUAUCAACAAUUGCUUAUAAGACUGAUUUUGGCGCGUAUGUUUUGUAUUCCUUCGGGGUUUUUUUGUUUGUUUGUUUGUUUUUAAUGAAUCCCUGGAAAUUAUCACCAGACCGACUCAAAAUUACAAAGUUUUUCAGAGCUUAUACACCUUCUAAGCUAUAUGUCUGGGAUUACAGGCGUGAGCCAAGUGCUGGGAUUACAGGCGUGAGCCACCAUGCCCGGCCAAUGCGUACCUUUAUUGCUACACCAUGGUGUUGAAUAUUAUUAUGUAUAAAUAACUAUUGGUUUCAUACAAUAGAAGAUUAGAGAAUCUUAUUCCCAAAUAUUUGACUCUUUUAGUAGAGACGAGGUUUCACUGUGUUAGCUAGGAUGGUCUCAAUCUCCAGACCUCGUGAUCCGCCCGCCUCGGCCUCCCAAAGUGCUGGGAUUACAGGCG
rnacentral:lncRNA from 1 species